UCAACAAAAAGUUAAAUGAAAGCAUAUGAUAUAAUGUAAUAUUUUUAUUGAAUUUAACUUUUUGUAAGUAUUUUAUAGAAUGCUAUAUUAUACCUACUAUACAAUUUGAAUGUCUCACUGUAAUUUUCAUAAUUAUUGAGUUUUUAUAAUAUUGAAGUUUACUAUAUUUUGACCCAAAAGUGAUUUUACAAUAGUUAAAAUUAAACAUUUAAUAUUAUUGAACAA